CGGACGGGUGAGUAACGCGUGGGUAACCUGCCUUGUACUGGGGGACAACAGUUAGAAAUGACUGCUAAUACCGCAUAAGCGCACAGUAUCGCAUGAUACAGUGUGAAAAACUCCGGUGGUACAAGAUGGACCCGCGUCUGAUUAGCUAGUUGGUAAGGUAACGGCUUACCAAGGCGACGAUCAGUAGCCGACCCGAGAGGGUGACCGGCCACAUUGGGACUGAGACACGGCCCAA
rnacentral:rRNA from 1 species